UACGUAGGGUGCGAGCGUUGUCCGGAAUUAUUGGGCGUAAAGGGCUCGUAGGCGGUUUGUCGCGUCGGGAGUGAAAACUCAGGGCUUAACCCUGAGCCUGCUUCCGAUACGGGCAGACUAGAGGUAUGCAGGGGAGAACGGAAUUCCUGGUGUAGCGGUGAAAUGCGCAGAUAUCAGGAGGAACACCGGUGGCGAAGGCGGGUCUCUGGGCCGUAACUGACGCUGAGGAGCGAAAGCGUGGGGAGCGAACAGG
rnacentral:rRNA from 1 species